CACGCCGUAAACGAUGAGUGCUAGGCGUUGGAGGCGUUUACCCCUUCAGUGCCGUAGCUAACGCGUUAAGCACUCCGCCUGGGGAGUACGGCCGCAAGGUUAAAACUCAAGGGAAUUGACGGGGGCCCGCACAAGCGGUGGAGUAUGUGGUUCAAUUCGACGCAACGCGAAGAACCUUACCCAGGUUUGACAUCCCGGGAAUCCGUGUGAAAGCACGGAGUGCCCCCUCACGGGGGAGCCCGGAGACAGGUGCUGCAUGGCUGUCGUCAGCUCGUGUUGUGAGAUGUUCGGUUAAGUCCGGCAACGAGCGCAACCCUUGUCGUCAAUUGCCAUCAGCUCGGCUGGGCACUCUAAUGAGACUGCCGGUGACAAACCG
rnacentral:rRNA from 1 species